AUGAAAAAGAAUACAAAAUGUGCAUUAAAAAGUAAUAGUACAAAAUACGUGUGCAAUGGAACCAUAUACUUCUGUACUUAAGGAGUUGUAGAGUCUUACAGCCACAGGGAGAAAGGGACAAAGUGGUGCACCUUGGUGGAAUCAAUCUGUUAACUAAAGGUGCUCCUCUGUUUGUUCAGUAUGUCAUGGAGGGGUUCAUAGCUUCUGCAGCAUCCUCCUCUUAGACACAACCGCCAGGGAAUCUAGUUCCACCUCCAGAACAGAACCAGCCUCCCUGUUGAGCUCAUUGAUCUUCUUGGCAUCAGCUGCUCUCACCCUGCUGCCCCAGUAUACUGCCUCAUAGAAUGGAAUGCUGGCCACCACUGAGUACAGAACAUCUGCAGCAUAGUAUUGCAGAUGUUGAAUGACCGGAGUCUCCAUGGGAAGUACAGUCGGCUUUGUACCUUGUACAAGAGCCCCUUUAUUUUCAGUCCAGUCUAGUUUAUUGUCCAAGUAAGUUCCCAGGUAUUUGUAGUCCUGGACAACUUCCACUUCUGUUCCCUUGAAGGUAAUGGGAAUGCAAGGUGUUUUCACCUUCCUGAAGUCCACUACCAACUCCUUUAUCUUACUGGUGUUGAGCUGCGAGUGAUUCAGCUCACACCACUCAACAAGAGUCCCACACUCUUCAGUACUCAACUACAGAAGUUGAGUACAACUACCAAAUCAUCUGAAAACUCUGCAGGUGGCAGGACUCUGAGUUGUAUCUGAAGUCCGAGGUGUAUAUAGUGAACAGGACAGUCCCCUGAGGUGCUCUGUGCUGAUAACCCCAAUAUCUGAUACACAACCCUACAAUCUCACAGACUGUGGCCGCCUGGACAGGUAGUCUGUAAUCCAGGACACUAGCAUCUCCGUGAUCUUACUCCCUAGUAAAGCAGGUCAUACGGUGUUAAAAGCCCUGGAGAAAUCAAAAAACAUGAUUCUCACAGUGCUGCCUGGGUCAUCCAGAUGGAUGUAAGCCUGUUGAAACAGGAAGAUAAUGGCACCCUUGACACCAAUAUGUGGUUGGUAAGCAAACUGCAGGCAGUAAGCAAACUCCUAGAUAGAGUAUAGCAAAUAUUCGUGUAGGUAUUUGAAUUAUUGUGUUUUGUAUUGACCUGGCCUUUAAAAAUUGUAAUUAAAACAUAUAACAUCGUUGACUGGGAUGUUCCAGUAUAUUUAAUAAUUAAUCCUUAUUCAAGGAAUUUUCAAACUGAUGAUCAUAUUAAAAAAAUAUUCAAGAUUCAUUUAAAAAAAGUAACUUACCAAUAAAAGCAAAAUAAUCUAAAUAGGAUUAAUUUGAUAAAAAUGCCAAAGUUGUGAAAUAUUUUUCUCUGGCAAAAUUCACAAAUAGUUACUUCUUUACACCAUUGUAUACAAAGUUCACUGCAGUGGAAUUUAUCUUUAAGGAACCUGAAACUUGUAGAAAUUACAUAGCUGUAAAUUACCAAACCACUCUUCAAUCCCUAGAGUCGUAUUAUUUCCUCAACAUGCAAAUAAAAGAGUAAAGAACCACAGCAUUAAUUUACAAAAUGAUGCUAGUAGUAUUUAGUACACAAUAUAAAUUUCAACAUUCAAUAUUUCUAAUAAAUAAUGUUUUUUUCUCAGAACUGGAUUAAGAAAGUUUCCUCAGAAUACCAAUUAUCAAUAGUAUUCAUAGUGCAUGUUCAUAUUUUCUUCUUAAGUACUAGACAUGCAAUUCUUCUAAAUUUUAAUUUUUUAAUUUUUAUUUAGUAUCCACCUCAGCCCAGUUUCUGAAAAUCAACAAGUGGAAUCUAAUCAAUGUUUAUAUAUUUUACUUUAUGUAUCAUUGUAAUAGAUAAUCAAGUGUUCAGCUUUUGUUUACUUCUGCUAAGUCAAAUUGUCCCAAUAAGUUCACACUCACAGUUAUUAGCAAAUACACAAAGUUGUUGCACACUAGUGGCUUGUAUAAAAUUUAAAUAAGAUUGCAACUGAUGUAACAUUGGUCAAUGUAAUGAUGUCUCUCGAUGAGUGUGGUGCAUUCAUUAGAAGCAAUUGUCCCAACUAAAUUUAACUUGGUGGAAGAAAAAUUAUAAACUAAUGUAACUUAAUGAAAAGGGCAGUUUUGGUCUUUCAAAAAUAGGCUGCUUUAGUACCCAUUAUGUCCUGUUAUAGCAUCUUGUUCCCUGUGAAUGCCUGCGCUGUAGAUUACUUAAAGAAUAAUGCUUGUUCGGAACUGAAAAUGUUUCUCUUUAUACAAUGCUUUUCCUUUUAUCAAAAACAAGAGAAAAUCUGCAGAUGCUGGGGGAACUCAGCAGGCCAGGCAGCAUCUAUGGAAAAGAGUACAGCUGAUGUUUUGGGCUGAGACCCUUCAUCAGGACGGGAGAGAAAAACAGAUGAGGAGUCAGAGUUAGAAGGUGUCAUUUUAUGGAGGUUCUCAGAGAGCAGAGGAAAGGAGGGGUGAAAAGUUUGAAGAAGCUGCUGCACCUGAUCAAAACAACUGGAGACAGGUUUGUGCAAAAGUGACUCACAUCAAGACAGGACAACCGAGGGAGGAUGGUAUUUCUUUGAGACAAUAUAGGUGCAGUUUUCUGCUGGGAGCUGCAGACCUAUUAGCAGCUUAUAUCUGCAGAAUGUAAUCAGAUAAUUCUUGUGUACGUAGCAGGAAGCUUGACCAAUUGGAAAAGAACAGAGGUGAAUCUGGCUGGUGCUUUGCAGUUGCUAUGACAACAAUUUCCUGCAGUCACACCAAUACUGGCAAAGCAGUAUACGGGUUGUUAUUUAUGGUUAAAAUUAACUUAAUUUAAAUUUCACAGGUGAAAGCACAAAGUAGCUGUUUCAUUACAAUAAAACUACUGCAUUAAUUAAUGAAAUGGUAGCCAGAUUUCAUAGCAGAAUUUCUCAAGAAUAACUAUUAAUAAUCUUCAAAUGCUUGACCACAUCUGGUAAACAACAAUUUGGUAAAUGUACAUGCCAACCUUAUUUGUUAUGUACUUAAAAUACGAGGAGAAAUUAAUCAGAAAUGACAUUGGAGUCAUAGUCUGAAUCUGUUCAGCACCGAGGGCCUUUAAAAUAGCAUGAUAAAAAUAUUCCCAUGGAAAAAAAUCAACUAGAAAAUGCAGACCUUUAAAAUAAAUGGCAACAGUAUAUAGAAAUUACAAAAGGACAAAUACUGUUUCAUGCUGAAAUUUUGUAGUGUUUCUGAAAUUAUCUAUGGUGCUAUAGAAAAACACAAGUUCAGCCAUUUUGAUUUUGGAGUCACCUGACUACUUCCAUGCAACCCCUAGAACCUUCCCCAUUUCCUUCACAUUUAUCAACAUAAACGAUACAAAAUAUGACAUGAUACCUACAGCACAAUAAUAUCUGUAUUACUCAGCACGGGGCAUGUUGCCAAUGUAUUAUGUCAGGUACUUCAUAUUAAAUAUUGUGCUCAAUCUGGAAUGGUAGGUGGAAAUUUCAGGGAGAUGAACAGGGUUGCUGACCUGAAAUGUUAACUUAUUACCUCUCCACAAAUGCUGUCUUAUUGUGUGUUUCUGAUGUUUUGUUUUUAUUAUAAUUAUUGUAUUUAAGGUGAAUAAUUUCUGUAAUGCACAAAUAUUGCGCCACACGGUCAUGGGCAUCAGUUUUCCUAGUAUGAGCUACUUACUGUGCGAAUUUGUAUGAUGCAGAUUAUGAGGGCCCUCAUAAGUACUCAGUGACCUGAGUCAGGACAGGACAGGCAUUUUCAUUAGCAGUUUUACUGCUAAUAAUUUUCAUAGAACCUUCAUUAAUUGUAUAAGUGCUGGGUAACUGUGUCUAAGAUCAACUUGACCACAUUGUCUUUUCUCCAUAGACAAGAGAAUCUCAUAGUUGGAAAGAACUUCAGCUAAACAUGCAAGCAGAUUGCUUACAUCUAAGUUACCAGGAGAGAACAGACCCUGAGGGGUUGCUGCAAGUGUCACAGUGCUUCAGCUGGGCAAAUGGGAAAGCUUUUUCUUCCCUAGUUGCUACCUAAUGUCUUCUGGUUUAAAAAUUAGAUUUACUGUAACAAUGAUGCCUUUAGUUGAAUGCAGAUACAAAUGCAGUGAACUGAAUAUUUUUAAAAAAUACCAUUAAAUUUACUAAGAAACUUGCAACCUCUUUAAAAUUUCUUUAUUUAAUUUCAAAAAGUGUAUGCAAAGCCAUGCUAACACAAAUAAACAGCUUGUUUCACACCAAUGAUUAUUUUCAGCAACCAAAACCAGCAUAUGUUUUAUUUUAAAACAUUUCCAUGUUUUAAAACCAUUAAUAAUUACAAUAAAAACUUGCGCAGUUUGAGUUGUUUACAGUAGAUCACACUUUUCAGAGAUGGCGCCAUUGAUUUUGCAUAGAGCAAGAAUUACUGUGAAAAAGAAAUGUCAACUUUUCAUCAAGUUAGUCAUUUUGGACAGACUGUGUUACAUCUGAAUAAUGCAUAUUUUAACAAUAAUUAAAAAAAGGCCCUCUUACCUAUAAAUAACACUGGAAAGUGUUACUUAACUAUGGUGGAGCUUCUCACUUAAUAUACAAAUCUGUCCAGUUCAAAGAAUAAUUUGAAUAUUUAAUCUCAAUCUCAGUCACUUUCCAUUGCUUUUUAACAUAUAUAAAAAGAAAACCCUGUAAGGUAGUUUAUAAAUUUACAAAGAUUCUACUGCUGAGGUUCCUAUAUUUGCAAACCACGCUGAAUGAACAAACAAAUGUCAGACAUUUUGGCUUAUAGUCUUUAUAUUACAAUACUUACAGAAAUAACACGUCUCCUAUGUGUGUAUACUUUAAUUCUCUAAAACAUUAAGGUUAUAAAUAAGGCACAUUUUCAAAACAAAAUGUUAACAAGUAAAUGGCAGUUGCAGAAUAUAGUCUUUGUAUAUUUUAAUGAGUUUCACAAACAGGAAGUACAGAUGUAAGCUUUCUAAUUAAUUUAAUUGUUUCUCACAAGCACUGUGUUGAAAGGGAAAUGCAGAAUUGGCUGGCAAGAGGUCCAUGUUUUUGUGGACCCAACACAUUGACCAACUUUGGUUGUGAUUAUUUUGCAUACCUCUGCUGAAAAUUAGUCUAAUCUGGUUAAUGGUAUAAAUUAAUGGCAGUAAGCAAGUAAGGGUUAUAUGGGAAGGUUUGGGGGGGGGGGUCCUCCUUUAACUUAAAAAUAAAAUGAAUAUUGACACAUUUCAUGUUUGGCUUUGUAGCUUCCCUCCAGAUUAAGGUCCUAAAUGAUUUGUAUCCUGCUCAUGAUUUAAUAAAAGCAUGCAGCUUAUGAAACUAUAAAAUCUAUUUGCUUUUGCAAACAAAAUAACUUGGAGUUUUCAUUGCACAUAAGGAAAAUAAACAUCCGCAAGAUUUGUGACAAAUUAAAAAUUUCUAGGAUGUAGGCUUAUGCUAGCUAAUCUGUAUAAUACCAUAAUAUUAACUGUGAUAAUGCAAUCAAAAUAUUAUAAAUUAUAAUCCAAAGCACAAUCCAAGCACAUUGCCAAAUCAACAUGCUACAUAGUUGGUUAUCAAAGGAACAUACUUUCCUUUGUUAUCUGCCUUUUGUUCUUUUGGGAAAAUACUACAUUUGCCGCUUCUGGCUUUGUUGAAUGGAGGAGGUUUAACUAAACCCAGGGCAGUAAGGAACAAGUUCAAUGUUAUGUGGAGUUCAAAGGAUAAGGCUUCAUUGGUAAUGACUUUGAUAAUGGCACAUGACAUACCAGUAUACCUGCUUAAUAUUUAGUAUUUAUCCAAGAUCACCACCCAAAGUUACAAUAUACAAUCAUCAGGACACAUGAAAUACUAGUACACUGAAAAUGUUUGUGUUCUUAUAUGCUUAGGCUGUUUGGUAUUCCACCUGCCUAGAGCUAAGAACCAAAAAGUGAAAUUUUACAUUGUUAAUUUUAAAUGCACAAAACAUCUGUUUUUUAAAUUCACUCCACAGAAACAUCUGUACAUGCUAUCUGUGAUAUUGUAUGCUUAAUUCUCAAACACUAUGGUGAAAAUUUAAGGAAAAACAAUUAACACAUUUCUGAAUACAGUAGAUUCUGGUUAAUUGGGCCAUCAGUUAAGUGGGGGAGCUGCUUAUUUGGGACAACUCUUACAGAACAAGAAAAACUAAUUGAGAAAAUAGCUGGGAUUCCCUUUGUCUACUUGGGACACUAUGCUGCUAAAUUGGGACAGGAGACUGCUGCCGAACAGUUUCUAACUAGUGUCACUCACAUGCACUUGUGUGGCCAUCAGACACUAUAGAGCAAAGUUUUUAAAUAGCAUCAGUUGCAUGCUUUUGUGUUCAAAAAACAGUAAUUUUUGUAAUUGAUAGAAAUAAGCAGUUAGACAAUUCAGAACUGCUUUGCUCAUUGUGGUUUCAAGCAUUCAAGCUUGGAGAUGCCAGAAACAGACAGGAGUCAAAAUUAAAGUUUCACUACUUCCAAAAGUUAGGAACUAACUUCAGAUUUUGAAGGUAUUGGCAAUCAUCUUGAUUGUUACAAUGAAAAUGAAGAUUUGGAAGAUGCAUUCUUCAAAAGCACUGUAUGAAGGUAGAACAUCUACACUAGAUGUUAGAUCUGCACUGUGCUAAUUUACAAUCAAUCAAAAGAAUACACCAGCGUACGCUCAUUGAAUUUCUCCGUCAGUAACCAAUACAAACUAAAACAGGUUUUUAGCACUGUAGUAGUUAGGUAGUGUUCUAAUUUGUCCUGCAUUUCAUGUAAAUAUAUUAUUUGUUACUCAGUUAAAUGGUAGUUUGUCUUUUUAUAUCUUUUUAACUAUUUCCAUGAAACUUCGGCUAAUUGGAGCUGCUGCUUAAUUGGGCCAAAAUGUACUGGUCCCAAUGUGUCCUAAUUAACUGGAAUCCACUGAAUUUAAUAAAUGAGUGGUACGGCUGAAGACCCAAAUUAAAUGGUCUUAAGAUAAUUUAAAGUUUCCAUACUGCUUUCAAUUCAUUUUAAGUAGACAAAGUCUUUAUAUAAGUGAGACUAGAACAAAGUACAAUCAAACAAUUUGUCCUAUAUUCUAGAUGAAAGAAAACAAAUUAUACUUUUUGUCCAGUCAUCCAUCUUAUCUUAAAAUGUUGGGAAUCAUAGUUCUGCUGAACUCCAAAAUAAGCAAACAAUUAAAAUAUCAAAUAAUUCUUAAGAGUCCAACAAUUUGUCAUGAAAGAUAAUUAUGGUUGAGUAAUCAGUUAUUUAUGAGAUUUCUUUUGUCUGCUUAAAUCAGCAACAUUGUAAAUUACUUUUAAUACUUUGUUACUAGUAGCACAUGGAGAAAGUAUUAUUACUUGUCAAACAUUGCUUUUGUACUGUACUAAGCCAAUGGUAUACCACAAUUUCAAAACAGUAGUUUUGUAUUCAUGCUACAAUUUAAAGUGACAAUAUUGUUUAUUUUUUUAAAAAACAGGUUUUUGGUUUCUGAACAAAAGCCUCCUGUGUGCUGGAAAAUAAAAGACUUCCCACUGUUAUUACUCUGUGGCCAAAAUACACAAUGGUUGUUUCUGUUAUCCUAACACCAAUCCCUGUAUGGAAAUAUACAUUCUUCCACUUCACAUACCACUGUGACCAGCAUUACCAUUUCAUUAAGAGUUUGUACUGUAGCUACUAACCCAUUUGAAGCAAGAGAAAUAAUUUACCUCUCCUGUUGUUAUUGCUAGGAAUAUUUCCAAACACUUAAUUGUUAAUGUUGUAACUCACAAAUUCAUAAUUCUUUAGAUAUAAUUAAAAGCACAGAGCCUGAAGUAGUCCAGUAUGAACACUUACUGCUGUUCUCUGAAUUUCCUGCCACUUGUUUUGGUUGAAGCAUUAUCCAGUCCAUGUGUUAUAAUGCUCAUUUAGUGGAAUGAAGUAGUUCAGUUAAAAGAAGAUCCUCAGCCAGGAUAUCAAAUUCUUUCACCACCUCAGAAUCACAAAUACAAUUCCCGAACACAUGUUCAAAUGUAUAAUUUUGAGUACACUAUACUCAUUUGAUACUAUAUGUUAUGAUGAAGAUGAUUAAAUUUCACUUUCAUGGUUAUUUUUAUCCAUAUGUUUGAAGAUGGACAAGAGAAUCUAGAGUAACAAAGAGCAUAGUGCCCUGUCUUCCACUGACCAUCAGCUGUGUUCUCAUGAUGUUUACCUCUCCUGAGCAAACAUCCUAUUCAAAGGUGCUAUAAUCGCCGACCAGCGAACCAGAAUCAGGAAUCCCACAAUGAGCCCUGACUUCAGUCACAAAGUAGCAACCAGCAUAGCCUCUGUAAACAAAAGCUUCCAGUAUACUGUACUUUCAUGCUAUUCCAUGCAAGAGUAGAACAGCCAUGGAAAAUGCCACCAAAAGUCCUCGUGUCCAGAAAUUGAAAUCCCUUUGAUUGUAUAUUUUCCAAAGCAUAUUAGAAAAUAAUUAAAGUAUUUGCUCAUGCUACUGCGAAGUAGCAUUUGAUUGGCAAUUAAUCUAAUCAAUAUUUUCUUACUUGAACAUUUUACUAAAUGGUAACAUGAAAAUUGAAAAAUUUUUUUUGGAUUUGUAAAACAUGCAAUGCAUAUACACACCCAUGUAAAAUUCUUAUAUUAAUAUCUAGCUGGAAAAAUUGGAAUUGAAAUAUUAGUGAAAUAGUUGUAUAAAACUAAAAUUGAGUAAAAUUGAAGUGCGUACCAGUAAAUAGAACAACUUAGUAAGAAGUGCAAUUCACCAAAUGUUGAAAUGUUUUGUGAUCUACUUACACAACCUUACUCCUCCUUACACAACCCUAGUGGAUUUACAGUUUCCAUCUAUUGUCAAUAAUUUGCAUCAAAUAUAGAAUAACUGAACUCUAUCUGCACUUUCCAAUAAAACCACUUCAAAAAAUUUUAUAUUUCUAUUUAAAUAACAAACCGUUUCUUACUUAUUUUCUGUGUGUACAGAACAAACAACUAAAUCUAAUUCCUAGGGAACCUUAUUUAUGCAUUCUAGGUUAAAAUUUAACCUGAGAGAUGAUGUGAGCUUGGCUCAAAGCAACUUCUCAAUUAACUCUCACUGGGUUAAAUUCCUGAAAUAAUGACCUGUGUGGAAUUUUAUGAUAAUCUGUUUGCCAGUUGGUUUCAACAGAGAUUAGAUCUUUCCAACACAAGUUUGUUCUUAUAUAUACCAGAUGUAGAAAACACAUCCCAUUCCAUUGAUUAAAACAAAAGAACCUGGAAGAGACAAGCCAGACCCUCUACUAAAAUGAAUUAAGUAUUGAUUACAGCAUGCUUUUUUGCUUAAACAACAAAAAAAAGUACCUCUCAAAAAGUUCCAUUUGCGAUUAGAUUUUAGUGCUUAAUCUAUAAUUUUCUCCACGACUAUGUUAAUACUUCAAUGGAAAGAUAGACAGGCAAUAAAUUAACGUCAGUGGUCUGUAGUUAAAUUGGUGUUAAGUCUACAUCAAAGCUUGUUCUAUUUCGCUUGCUAGUAAAGGAAGCUCAAUUUCCAUUUAAAGGCAUUACUGCAGUUCUAGAAUUUCAACUGCAGAGGCUAAAAAUAAUAAUUCUCAACUAAAGUAUUUUUGAUUAAAAAGGGAGUGCAUUGUUCCACCGUUAAUUCUAAAAAUGUAUUAUAGUUAUGUAAUAUUAUGCUAAUUGCCAUAUUUAAAUCAAUUUCUGAAGUUUGCUCAUGUAACGAUGAGGGAAAGUGUUUUAAACAUCAAUAGAGAUAAAUAGUUACUCAAGGUUAUGACAGUAUAGUAAUUCAAUUAGUGUAGUAGAAUCUAAAAGCCUAUAUCACUGACCCAGAGUUUGUGUUUAAAGUUCAUUCUGGCACUGAGUGAAUUUAAAUUACUUAAUUAUAUCUGAAAUGAAAAGAUUAUCACUAAGGCUGACCACAAAAUGACUGUUGUAAAAAAUCCUCAUUCACCAAUGUUCUUCAGGGAAGUGUCUGUCCUCGGACUGAUUCCAAGCCCUUCAAGGACUAACUGCACACCAGUCUAGGCGUAAUGAGGGAGGAGUAAUAAAUAGCAGCCAAGGGAGUGAUAUCAUUCAGACUUGCAGCUUGGUCACAUUUAUAGAAACCACGUGUACCUCAUAUCCAUUAAUAAAUUGUAAAUAUGAUUAUAUUGUACUUGUUCAAAACAAACUGUGGAAGACAGAUGGCGACAAUCAGAAAGACAAUUUUUUGUCAGGGUUGGUAAACAGCACGUAUAAAUAAGCCACAAAAUUGCAGAAAAUGAAAGGGUUUACUCGGGUGGAGAUGAAGGGUGGUGUGAGGAAGGUUCACUCAAGUAUAAAUAAAUAGAUAUAUUGAUUUGCAGGAAAGCUGCUCAAUAGCUUUAUAUUUGAAAUAAAAACACCGAAAACGUUCAAAUAAUAAAUGAAAUACAAUGGAUUCUGGUCAAGUAAGCCAUCGAUUAAUUGGGGCAGCUGCUUAUUUGGAACAACUCUUAAGGAACAAAAAUAAACAGAGAAAAUAGCCAGGAUUCUCUUUAUUCUUCACUAUGCCACUUAAUUGGGGCAGGAGAUGAUCAGUAACGCUCACUUGUGUGGCCGUUAGACACUUGCUCAUAGCGAACAGCUGGGUCAGUUGCAUGUGCUUGUGUUAUGUUUUCCAUUUGGGCCAACAGACACUGAUUCAAAAAGCAGUAAUUUUUGCUUUUUUUUUUUCCCUUGACUUAAAAAAAAAUUGAUAUCCUUACCAAGAUGAAAAGAUUUGACACUAGCUAAAAAAAUUAUCCUAAUAGACCAAAUUAAAAGCCAUCUGCCUGACACCAAUCAUCAUCAAUUGGGAGAGAUAACUGCAGUGCCAAAAUCUGCAACUGCAUGCUUGAUACAGCAGUAAGAUAAACUGUGAGAAGAAUGGGUAUUACGCAAGAGAGAACAAGAAACAUCCCAAAAAUGAAAGCAUGAAGGUAAAGAUCCAGAUGUUGAAGUGGCUCUCAGUCACCAGUAACUGGAUGCAGUGGACCAAGGUCAAAAAACAAGUCAGAGGAGCUAGCUAAGAAGCUGGGGCAGGAAGAUUUUAACACAACAGAUGGCUGGCUGUCCCGAUGGAAGUGAAAGGAACACAAUAAAUUCAAGAAAGCACAGAGCAAAACAGGUAGUGCUGAUGCUGUAAGUGCAGAAACAUAGAAUUCUACAAAUCUCCCCAACUUGCUUCAAAAAUGUGCAGAUAACAUCUACAAUACCAAUGAAGCAGGCCUUUUAAAAAAAAUUGUGCCAUGUUGGAUGGUUCUCUUUGCUACAGACUGGUAACACUAUCAGGUUCAAAGAAAGCAACAGAUUGCAAACUAUGUUUAACCUUUGUUUAAGGGCUUGAGAAUGGAGUUUACCAAUGGAGUACUAUGCUCAUAAAAACGCGCGAGUGACUUCCAAACUUUUCAGAAAAUGGCUGAUGAGUUGGGAUUUGGGGCUACAGCAGAAACCAAGCAAAAUUCUUCCGCUUGUUGACAGUUGUGCAGCACGUCCUAAUGCAGAAUAUUUGAGAAACAUCCAGCAGGAUUUCCUACCUGCCAACACCUGGAUAUGGAAAUGAUAAAAAAAAAUUAAAGAUGUAUCAUGGAAGGUUGCUGAACCACAUUCUCAAAGCAAACGAAGAUAAUCUAAUGACAUCUUCUUCAAUGGCUAAGGAAGUGAGUGUAGGGGAUACCCUUUUUCAGGCAGCAUAGUUUAUCAGUGACAUUUGGAGAGAAAUAAGCAGUAAGACAAUUAAGAAUUGUUUUGCUUACUGCUGUUUCAAUCAUUCAGACUCAGCUGCUGGAAACGGGUGGGAGUAAAAAUGAAAUGAUUUCAUUACUUGAAAAAGUUAGCAACUACACAGAAAUUGAAAGUAUCGACAAUCAUCAUGAGUGUUACAAUGAAAAUGAAGAUUUGGGGGACGUAAUGGUCAAAAGCGUUGUAUCACAACAUUAAGGUGGGUGGGGGCGGGGAACAUGAAGACAACUGAUGAAAUGACACAACUGAACCUGAGCUAGUAACUACACAGGAUGCCAGGGAAUUUGUUGUUUAUUUACAUCACUUCAUGCAGGAAGGCAAUGAAGAAAGUCUAUUAUCUGCACUAGGUAUCUGUGCAGAUUUUGUUCAAAAGAAUACAUUGGUGUACACUCGCUGAAUUCCUUCAUCAGUAAACAUUAUGAAUUAAUAUACAGGUUUAAAGUACUGUAGUAGUUUUGGUAGUGUUCUAAUUUGUUCUGCAUUUCAUUUAAAUACAUAAUUUAUUACUCAAAUAGUUGUUUGUUUAUACUUUUUAAAGUAUUUACAUGAAACUUCAGAUAAUUAGGGCAGCCAUUUAAUUGUGCCAAAACAUAUCUGUCCUGCUGUAUGUAAUUAACUGGAAUCCACUGUAUAUCAAGUUAUUAACCAUUCCUUUCUUUCUGCAUAUUCUGACAGAUCUUCCAUUUACUCACAGCAUUUUCAGUUCUCUCCUUUUAUUGAAGGUAUCAAAAACCACGAAAAUAAUAAUGGCUGAGAAGAUAUUUGAGAAAAUAAAAUGUAAAUAAAAAAAUAAACAAAUCAUUGUUUCCAUUCAUGUUAAUUUGUCACCCUCAAAACUAUCUUGCUAAAAUUAUUAUGUUUAACAAUUAGGUAUUGCUUGACUUUAUAUUGUUAAAACAUCAGUUUGCAACCAAACCCAGAAUCUUGUACCUGCUGGACAGCUGAAAGAAAACUCAUUAAAACUGAAAUGUCUUUAGCCUGAAACCCUAACUCUAUUCCUCUCUCCACAUGUUGUGUGUCCUGGAUUCAGAUUUAUUUAUCUAUCACAAGUACAUCAAAGCAUAUGGUGAAAUACACUGUGUUAACAACAUAUACAACCUCAGGAUGUGUUGGGGGCAGCCCUUAAUUUUGCCUUAAUUUACUGUUUUAUUUAAUUUUCUCAAUUAUGACAGUGAUAUCAAGUUCCUACUUGUCAUUUAUGAAACAGGUAGCUGGCCCAUGCUGCAGAAUAUCAUGGGCUGUAGUUAACAUUUUAUCUCCUCUGCAGUGAUAAUAAUUCCCACUAGAGUCAAGAAAUUAUGAAAUAGCAGGGAGCUAUGAUCAAUUUGAACCAGAUCAUGAAAUAACUGAUCUCCAUAGCAGAGACAACUGGAGUGCAUUAAAAUUGCAAAUUCAGAAAGCUUGGUACUCAGUGGAUUGAAAUAGACAGGGAAUAUAUCACAUACAACUAAAAACUGGAUGAGUGAAAAAGAAAUGACUAGACAUGCAACAUUUCAAUUAAAUCUGCAAAGAAGCUUGGUACACAACAUAAAAAAUCAAAAUAAAAGUAGGCUACAUCAAAAAACAUAUGCUCUGUGUUUAACUGACUCAAAUUUUCCAUACUCUUCACCCUGUUACCUAUUUCUUAUUAGCAUCUGCUUUCUUUACAAACUGCUGUUAAUAUUCAAACAGGAGGCACCAGUUUGGCUAUAAAAUGAUUAUUGCAUGGUUUGAAGAAAGAAAUUCCUUGGACAUUGAAUCUUUUAUCUGCAUUCAAAACCACAUGAAACCACCUUUGAACAAAUGGACCAUUGCAGUAUCAGAAAUUGGGAGUGCAAUAAAUAUUUAAACUCCACGGCUCAAUAGUACGCGAAUAUUAGAAUGGAUGUUAGAAGGAGCCAGAACAGGGACCAUGAUAAAGGCUCAGUGAUUACUUGAAAAACAGAUCAGAACUAACAGCAAGGCAGUUGGCCGUACAAGUCGUUUUGUACUGGUCACCAUGACAGUGUAGCUCUUGCAAGAAAACAGCAAUUCUCACUUUGUUGAAG